AAAAAAGUAGCCGGACGUGGUGGUAGGAGCCUGUAAUCCCAGCUACUCCGCAGGCUGAGGCAGGAGAAUUGCUUGAAUCUGGGAGGCGGAGCUUGCAGUAAGCAAAGAUCGCACCACUGCACUCCAGCCUAGGCGACAGAGCUAGACUGCAGAAGAAAAAGAGAAAGAGAGGGGAGAAGAGGUCAAGUGUGGAAACAGCAAGAAGGCUGCUGUCUGCAAGCCAAGAAGAGAGCCCUCGCCAGAAACCAAAUUAUCCAGACCCUGGAUAUUGGAUUUCCAGCCUCCAGAAUGCUCCUUGAGGUGCAACUGCAUUACAUUUCUACUGACCAGUACUGUGCCAGAUUGAUGACCAGCCAAUACUUGAGUGUUUAUGAUAUGGCAGCAGCUGUUUAACCACCUAAAAGUACUGUAGACCUAGCAUACCCACACUUCCUAUAAGAAAGAUACGGCUAAGACCGCAGGCAUGGUGGCAUGCAGCCGGUAGUCUCAGCUACUUGGAAGGCUGGAGCAGGAGGACCACUUGAACCCAGGAGAUCAAGACUGCAGUGAGUUAUGAUGGCACCACUGCACUCCAGCCUGGGCAAAAGAGCAAGACAUCAUCUCUAAAAGCUAAUUAUAUAAAAAGAAAAGAAAGAAAUGGCAAAGACACCCAGAAUCCACACUUCCAUAAGUUCCUUUCCCAUAAUACAAGACUUGAGUAACCACACAUUUCCUCCUUUCAGUGUGUGUUCUGGUAAAUGUGGAUGCUAAAUAACCAGGAUGAGGGAAGCAGGAAGUAUCUGGAGACAGAGCAUUCUCUCUGGUCUGAGGGCCACCUGUGCUGUGUAUGCAGCUGGCUGCCUUUAAAGAAAAGCACAUUUAUAAAAGGCUUUCCUCAGCUAGAGAUAGUCUGGGAAGGUGUGCUGAUGGACCACAAAGACCCGAGAAUCAUUUUGGAGACAUCCACCUCCACAACGUGAAAAUGUAAAGGAGAGGGCUGGAGAGGGGGUAACCCCUUUAACUUGGGGAGAUAAAGGUUAUGGACAGAGGCACAGCACAUUGGGGGAAGCAGGGAAUGACUAGGACAUCUUGGCAAGGACACACGUUAUUGGAGAAGACCAAAAUGGGGAUGUGGGAGUAAAAGAGCGCCACCACAGAGGCUUACCAUCUUUAAUUUCACUCAGCAGCUUCCCAACAGGGGACACCCAGCAGGAUGGCAGGCAGAUGGCACAGGGGGUCACUACAGCCACAAAAGAUAACAUAUUUAUAUAAUUCUUGUAUGAAAAAUGCAUGUUAUAGUAAUAAUUCGGCCUGAGGGUGAGAUAAAAAUCCCAGACUGUGCCAACAAAAAUGGACAGAGGAAUUGAGAGAAGGGGUAGCCAGGUGAGAAAAAAAGGAUGUUCAUUUCUUAAUUUUCUCAAGAGUGACGAAAAAAUCAAGAAAUACUUUUGUUUCUGAAGUUGAUAAUAUACUAAUUCCUAUACUUCUCUAUUUAGAGAUAUAAGGGUAACCACCAAAAGACAGACCGUCUCCCAAAAAAGAGCAAAAAGAGAAGGGGCAAAAGAAAAAAAAAAAAAAAAGAGUGCCAAAACCACAGGCAAUGUAGUGAAAGAUUUUUUUUUUAAGUGCUGCAAUAUCAAACAUCUGUUAAAAGGGAAAAACCCAAAUUGGGCUAAAAGGGGGAAAAAAUGACAAGAAAUCUAACAAGAUAUUUUAUAUAAGAGGCACACCUAAAACAGACUUGAGAAAAAUUGAAAAUGAAAGUUUGGGCAGUGAAAUAUCAUAAUAUAAAGCAAAUGUAAGUUUUAAAAGCCAAGGGACUAGAUAUAAAAUUCAAUUUUCAUUUUAAGGUAAAGAUCAUCACACAAAUGGUGUCACUCUGCAUAUUAGGAGACAAGCUGGGGUGGGGGAAGUCCGUAACAUUUAGACUCCAAAGUGUUAAUUUCUCUAACAUGUGAAUAUCUUAUGCAGUCAAGCAAGAGGGACACAACUCAACAGAAAAAUUAGAAAGAGGAUAUCAAAGUCACAGAACACAGAUAGCAAUAAACAUUUCAAGAGGUAUUUGCCCUCAAUAAUAGAUAAAUGCCUCCCUGCCCUAUUAGAUUGGCUAAUCAUACACAGACAAAUGUAGAGUAGCAAGAACACCCACCACAAUAAUGAAAAGUGUAAAUUCAUGCAGACUUUAGGUAACUUGCUAUUAAAAUUUUUUAAUGUUAUAUCCUUUAAUCCAGCCCUUCCACAUCCAGAAUUAUAUUCUUGGGGAAAAAAGCAACACUCAGACAAAUGCUUGAAGAUAGGCUGGAGUACAAUGGCACAAUCAUGGCUCAUUGCAGCCUCAAACUCCCGGACUCAAGUGAUCGUCCCGCCUCAGUCUCCCAAGUAGCUGGGACUACAUGUGUGAGCCAUCUUGCCCAGACCAUAAGUGGACGAUUUUUUAAAGAAAGGUCUCCUUAUGCAGAAGCAAGCAAACAGCAAACCAGUAUGUACUACAUAGUUCGUUCUUGCCCAAAUCAUCCCCUAACCACCAAAACAGAAAGAUGAACCACAUUGAUUUAGCAAGAGUACAGGAGAAAGAUCUAGAAGACAUAGAUCCACUCCACAGUACUUUCUUCUAAGUGGGAAGGGAAUGGGGAAGGAGGAGGGGUGUGUGUGGGGGGGAACUUUUCCCUUACUUCAAUACAUCUUUGUGUGAUUUGAGAAAUAUGUCACUUUAGUAAUUCAAAGUAUUAAAAUAUAUUUUUAAAGUGUGUUUAUGUCCAACUGCUAUAAAACAAACCCCAAAACUACCUUUUGUCCUAUAUAGUGUUAAAGAGUAAAAUUUAUCGAAUUAUGAUAAUCUAAAAUUUAGCAGCAAGAAUUUAGAAAAAGACUUCAUUAGCUUUUUGUGUUGUUUCUAGAAGAGAAUGGGAAAUUAUCUGCAAGUGAACACUUCUAGUUUAUACACGUCCAAACUCAGCAAAUCAUAUAAAUUAAACAUGUGCAGGGACUUUUUGUGUAUUAUACCUCAAUAAAGCUAUACAAACAUUUUUCUUAGGCUAUCAGCUUUACUCUCUAGUAUUAAAACAGGUAGCAAAAGCCAUGUCUGUGGGAAUUUGGAUGACAGGACACAGAUGUGUGAAGAUAGGAAAGUGAUGUUUACUAUUAUUGGGCACACGAAUGACACAAGAUUCAUUCUAGCAAGGGAUACCUUAGGCAUAACCAGAGUUCCAGCUGUGUGUUCAGGGGUCUCAUGCGCAGAAAAACAGUCCUUUCCAUUUCCAUCCACUGCACAGCCAUAGCUGUAGCCAGAAAGAAGGUAAGAGCCGUGCUGUCGCGCAUACCAGUUGCCAUAGCGGUAACUCUGGCUGGGCUGGAACUCCUGCUUCACUCUAAUAGCAGAGGGGAGACUACAGGAAUGACAAUCAUCACAACCAACGCAGAAUCAUCCACAAACCCCCAAACCCUUUCUUCUUUCCAGGAAGUUUGCAGUAAGCUGAACACCUAUGUUCAAAGCCAUAGUUUGAUACCUAAUGUAGAUGACGGGUUGAUGGGUGCAGCAAACCACCAUGGCACGUGUAUACCUAUGUAAAAAACCUGCACGUUCUGCACAUGUACCCCAGAACUUUAAAAAAAAAAAAGCCAUAGUUUGUAAGUUACCAACAGUUAUGUAGCAAAUAGAACAGUA
rnacentral:lncRNA from 10 species